rnacentral:rRNA from 1 species
GAAUUCGAUUAACGCGAAGAACCUUACCCAGGCUUGAACUGCAGAUGACAUCCUACGAAAGUAGGCUCCCGAAAGGGCAUCUGUAGAGGUGCUGCAUGGCUGUCGUCAGCUCGUGUCGUGAGAUGUUGGGUUAAGUCCCGCAACGAGCGCAACCCUUGUCUGCUGUUGCCAUCACGUUAUGGUGGGCACUCUGCAGAGACUGCCGGUGAUAAACCGGAGGAAGGUGGGGAUGACGUCAAGUCAGCAUGGCCUUUAUGUCUGGGGCUACACACGUGCUACAAUGGCCGAUACAAACCGUCGCGAUGCCGCAAGGUGGAGCUAAUCGGAGAAAGUCGGUCUCAGUUCGGAUUGCAGGCUGCAACUCGCCUGCAUGAAGUUGGAAUCGCUAGUAAUCGCGGAUCAGCACGCCGCGGUGAAUACGUUCCCGGGCCUUGUCACACCGAAUCACUA